UACGAGGGGGGCAAGCGUUGUUCGGAAUUACUGGGCGUAAAGGGCUCGUAGGCGGCCAACUAAGUCGGACGUGAAAUCCCUCAGCUUAACUGGGGAACUGCGUCCGAUACUGGAUGGCUUGGAUUUGGGAGAGGGAUGCGGAAUUCCAGGUGUAGCGGUGAAAUGCGUAGAUAUCUGGAGGAACACCGGUGGCGAAGGCGGCAUCCUGGACCAAUAUUGACGCUGAGGAGCGAAAGCUAGGGGAGCAAACGGG
rnacentral:rRNA from 1 species